rnacentral:rRNA from 1 species
UACGUAGGGGGCAAGCGUUAUCCGGAUUUACUGGGUGUAAAGGGAGCGUAGGCUGUGAGGUAAGUCAGCGGUGAAAUGCCCCCGCUCAACGGGGUGAAGUGCCAUUGAUACUGCCUUGCUGGAAUGCGGAUGCCGUGGGAGGAAUGUGUGGUGUAGCGGUGAAAUGCAUAGAUAUCACGCAGAACUCCGAUUGCGAAGGCAGCAUACCGGCGCCCAACUGACGCUGAAGCACGAAAGCGUGGGUAUCGAACAGG